rnacentral:rRNA from 1 species
GAUGAACGCUAGCGGCAGGCUUAAUACAUGCAAGUCGUGGGGCAGCAUGAGUAGCAAUACUUGAUGGCGACCGGCAAACGGGUGCGGAACACGUACACAACCUUCCGAUAAGUGGGGAAUAGCCCAGAGAAAUUUGGAUUAAUACCCCGUAACAUAUAGAGUAGGCAUCUUCUUUAUAUUAUAGCUUCGGCGCUUAUUGAUGGGUGUGCGUCUGAUUAGGUAGUUGGCGGGGUAACGGCCCACCAAGCCUACGAUCAGUAGCUGAUGUGAGAGCAUGAUCAGCCACACGGGCACUGAGACACGGGCCCGACUCCGACGGGAGGCAGCAGUAAGGAAUAUUGGACAAUGGGCGAAAGCCUGAUCCAGCCAUGCCGCGUGAAGGAUUAAGGUCCUCUGGAUUGUAAACUUCUUUUAUUUGGGACGAAAAAAGGGAAUUCUUUCCCACUUGACGGUACCAAGUGAAUAAGCACCGGCUAACUCCGUGCCAGCCGCCGCCGUAAAAC